GACGAACGCUGGCGGCGUGCUUAACACAUGCAAGUCGAACGGUAAGGCCCUUCGGGGUACACGAGUGGCGAACGGGUGAGUAACACGUGGGUGAUCUGCCCUGCACUUUGGGAUAAGCCUGGGAAACUGGGUCUAAUACCGAAUAGGACCAUGGACUUCACGGUUUGUGGUGGAAAGCUUUUGCGGUGUGGGGAUGGGCCCGCGGCCUAUCAGCUUGUUGGUGGGGUAAUGGCCUACCAAGGCGACGACGGGUAGCCGGCCUGAGAGGGUGACCGGCCACACUGGGACUGAGAUACGGCCCAGACUCCUACGGGAGGCAGCAGUGGGGAAUAUUGCACAAUGGGCGCAAGCCUGAUGCAGCGACGCCGCGUGAGGGAUGACGGCCUC
rnacentral:rRNA from 1 species